rnacentral:rRNA from 1 species
GUCCACGCCGUAAACGAUGAUAACUAGCUGUCCGGGCACAUGGUGCUUGGGUGGCGCAGCUAACGCAUUAAGUUAUCCGCCUGGGGAGUACGGUCGCAAGAUUAAAACUCAAAGGAAUUGACGGGGGCCUGCACAAGCGGUGGAGCAUGUGGUUUAAUUCGAAGCAACGCGCAGAACCUUACCAGCCUUUGACAUCCCGCGCUAACCUGAGAGAUCAGGGGUUCCCUUCGGGGACGCGGUGACAGGUGCUGCAUGGCUGUCGU